rnacentral:rRNA from 1 species
AUUAGUGGCAGACGGGUGAGUAAUGCAUAGGAAUCUACCUAGUAGUAUAGGAUAGCCACUAGAAGUGGUGGGUAAUACUGUAUAAUCCCUGCGGGGGAAAGAUUUAUCGCUACAUGAUGAGCCUAUGUUAGAUUAGCUAGUUGGGGGGGUAAUGGCCUACCAAGGCAGUGAUCUAUAGCUGGUCUGAGAGGAUGAUCAGCCACACUGGAACUGAGACACGGUCCAGACUCCUACGGGAGGCAGCAGUGGGGAAUAUUGGACAAUGGGCGCAAGCCUGAUCCAGCUAUGCCGCGUGAGUGAGGAAGGCCUUAGGGUUGUAAAACUCUUUCAGUGGGGAAGAUAAUGACGGUACCCACAGAAGAAGUCCCGGCAAACUCCGUGCCAGCAGCCGCGGUAAUACGGAGGGGGCAAGCGUUGUUCGGAAUUAUUGGGCGUAAAGGGCAUGUAGGUGGUUUGGUUAGUUAAAGGUGAAAUGCCAGGGCUUAACCCUGGAGCUGCUUUUAAUACUGCCAGACU